rnacentral:lncRNA from 1 species
AUAGCAUAUGUAAUUUAUAGUUCUGCUAAUAACUCACAAAUCUUCCUAGUGUAAACUGGGGCAGAAAAAGUUUCUUUUGUUGUUUCCAUUUUGUUGUAGUAGCAGGCGCCCAUCUGGAAAAUGAGGAAAUUUAUUAUAAGUAUUAAGUCAACAGCAGGCGCCCACCUGAAAAAUGAGGAAAUUCAUUUCAAAUGUUAAGUCAACAUCAGGCACCCACCUAGAAAAUGAGGGAAUUAAUUUUAAGUUUUUUAAGUCAACAUCAGGCGCCCACCUGGAGAAUGAGGGAAUUCAUUUCUGUUUUAAGUCAGCACAGGCGCCCACCUGGAGAACGAGUGAAUUUAUUUCAAGUUUUUAAGUCAUCAGGCGCCCACCUGGAAAACGAGGGAAUUCAUUUCAGUUUUAAGUCAUCAGGCACCCACCUAGAAAACGAG